ensembl:lncRNA
CUCCCGAGGGGCCCAGGCGUCCGGGCACCCCCAGGGAAGGGGCCCAGGUGUCCGGGCAUGUGUGGGGCAGGGGCCCAGGUGUCCGGGCACAGGUGGGGUGUGGGCCCAGGCGUCCGGGCACCCCCAGGGAAGUGAUCCAGGGACCCCCAGGGCAGGGGCCCAGGCGUCCGGGCACCAUAGGGAAGGGGCCCAGGCAUCCAGGCACCCCCAGGGAAGGGGCCCAGGUGUCCGGGCACCCCUAGGGCAGGGGCCCAGGCGUCCGGGCGUGUGUGGGGCAGGGGCCCAGGCAUCCGGGCACCCCCAGGGCAGGGAUCCAGGCACCCCCAGGGAAGGGGCCCAGGCAUCCGGGCACAUGUGGGGUGUGGGCCCAGGCGUCCGGGUGCGUGUGGGGCAGGGGCCCAGGCAUCCGGGCACCCCCCAGGGAAGGGGCCCAGGCAUCCGGGCACGUGUGGGGCAGGGGCCCAGGUGUCCGGGCACCCCCCAGGGAAGGGGCCUAGGUGUCUGGACGCUGUAGGGAAGGGGCCCAGGCGUCCGGGCGCAUGUGGGGCAGGGACCCAGGCGUCUGGACACUGUAGGGAAGGGACCCAGGUAUCCGGGCGCGUGUGGGGCAGGGGCCCAGGCGUCCGGGCACCCCCCAGGGCAGGGGCCCAGGCGUCCGGGCCCUGACAGCGGGACGCACCGGGGGGGGGGCGGGGGGGGACGCAGUUUGCGGCGCAGAGCGAGGCCGAGCGCCCCUUCAUCGUGGGCCACUUCCACGAGUGGCUGGCGGGGCUGGGCCUGGUGCUGAGCCGGGCGCGGCGCCUGCCCGUGGCCACCGUCUUCACCACCCACGCCACGCUGCUGGGCCGCUACCUCUGCGCCGCCAGCGUCGACUUCUACAACAACCUGCAGCACUUCGACGUGGACAAGGAGGCCGGCGAGCGGCAGAUCUACCACCGCUACUGCCUGGAGCGGGCGGCCGCCCACUGCGCCCACGUCCUCACCACCGUGUCCCACGUCACGGCCACCGAGGCCGAGCACCUGCUCAAGCGGCGCCCGGACCUGGUGACCCCCAACGGGCUCAACGUGCGCAAGUUCUCCGCCAUGCACGAGUUCCAGAACCUGCACGCCCAGAGCAAGGCCCGCGUCCAGGAGUUCGUCCGCGGCCACUUCUACGGGUCAGGGGCCCAGGCGUCCGGGGAAAGGGCCCAGGCGUCCGGGGAAAGGGCCCAGGCGUCCGGGUGGGAGGCAGCUGGGGGGCCCAGGCGUCCGGGAGUUCGUCUGUAGACACUUCUAUGGGUUGGAGGCCCAGGCGUCCGGGCAAGGACUUGGGUGUCCAAGGAGGGACCCAGGCGUCCGGAAGUUCAUCCAUGGCCACUUCCAUGGGUCAGGGCCCAGGCGUCCGGGCAGGAAUUUGGGUGGAUUUGGGGCAUUUUGGUGGUUCUGGGGUCUGGAAUUUGGGUGGAUUUGGGGCAUUUUGGUGGUUUUGGGGUCUGUGAGCUGGAAUUUGGGUGGAUUUGGGGCGUUUUGGUGGUUUUGGGGUCUGUGAGCUGGAAUUUGGGUGGAUUUGGGGCGUUUUGGUGGUUCUGGGGGCUGGAAUUCGGGUGGAUUUGGGUGUUUUUGGUGUUUUUGGGGUCUGUGAGCUGGAAUUUGGGUGGAUGUGGGGCGUUUUGGUGGUUCCUGGGGUCUGCAGGCCAGAAAUUGGGUGGAUUUGAGGCGUUUUGGUGGUUUUGGGGGCUGGAAUUUGGGUGGAUUU